AUUGAACGCUGGCGGCAGGCUUAACACAUGCAAGUCGAGCGGGGUGAUGGUGCUUGCACUAUCACUUAGCGGCGGACGGGUGAGUAAUGCUUAGGAAUCUGCCUAUUAGUGGGGGACAACAUCUCGAAAGGGAUGCUAAUACCGCAUACGUCCUACGGGAGAAAGCAGGGGAUCACUUGUGACCUUGCGCUAAUAGAUGAGCCUAAGUCGGAUUAGCUAGUUGGUGGGGUAAAGGCCUACCAAGGCGACGAUCUGUAGCGGGUCUGAGAGGAUGAGCGGCCACACUGGGACUGAGACACGGCCCAGACGCCUACGGGAGGGAGCAGGGGGGAAUAUUGGACAAUGGGGGGAACCCUGAUCGAGCCAUGCCGCGUGUGUGAAGAAGGCCUUAUGGUUGUAAAGCACUUUAAGCGAGGAGGAGGCUCUUUUGGUUAAUACCCAAGAUGAGUGGACGUUACUCGCAGAAUAAGCACCGGCUAACUCUGUGCCAGCAGCCGCCGUAA
rnacentral:rRNA from 1 species